rnacentral:rRNA from 1 species
UUCAUACCUAUUCGAAGGGAUAGGGUCGGUUCGGCCGGAUUUUACACAAGUGUUGCAUGGCUGUCGUCAGCUCGUGUCGUGAGAUGUUGGGUUAAGUCCCGCAACGAGCGCAACCCUCAUCCUUAGUUGCCAUCAGGUAAUGCUGAGUACUUUAAGGAAACUGCCAGUGAUAAGCUGGAGGAAGGUGGGGAUGAUGUCAAGUCAUCAUGGCCUUUAUGGAGUGGGCUACACACGUGCUACAAUGGUGUCUACAAUGGGCUGCAAGGUGCGCAAGCCUAAGCUAAUCCCUAAAAGACAUCUCAGUUCGGAUUGUACUCUGCAACUCGAGUACAUGAAGUUGGAAUCGCUAGUAAUCGUGGAUCAGCAUGCCACGGUGAAUACGUUCUCGGGUCUUGUACACACUGCCCGUCACGCCAUGGGAAUUGGUUUCACUCGAAGCUAAA